rnacentral:rRNA from 1 species
AUACGGAGGGUGCAAGCGUUAAUCGGAAUUACUGGGCGUAAAGGGUACGUAGGCGGUUAAAUAAGUUGGAUGUGAAAGCCCCGGGCUUAACCUGGGAACUGCAUUCAAAACUGUUUGACUAGAGUGUAUGAGAGGUUGGCGGAAUUCCAGGUGUAGCAGUGAAAUGCGUAGAUAUCUGGAGGAACAUCAGUGGCGAAGGCGGCCAACUGGCAUAACACUGACGCUGAGGUACGAAAGCGUGGGGAGCGAACGGGAUUAGAUACCCCAGUAGUCC